GACGAACGCUGGCGGCGUGCUUAACACAUGCAAGUCGAACGAAGUGGCGAACGGGUGAGUAACGCGUAAUCAACCUGCCCUUCAGAGGGGGAUAACAGUUGGAAACGACUGCUAAUACCGCAUACUGUAGGAGGGGAUUGCGUCUGAUUAGCUAGUUGGAGGGUUAACGUCCCACCAAGGCGAUUAUCGGUAGCCGGUCUUGGAGGAUGGACGGCCACAUUGGGACUGAGAAACGGCCCAGGCGCCUACGGGAGGCAGCAGUGGGGGAUCUUCCGCAAUGGACGAAAGUCUGGCGGGGCAACGCCGCGUGAGUGAUGACGGCCUUCGGGUUGUAAAGCUCUGUUAAUCGGGACGCGGUACCGGAUUAGAAAGCCACGGCUAACUCCGUGCCAGCCGCCGCGGUAAUAC
rnacentral:rRNA from 1 species